AAAAAAGCAAGGCUCCAUUUCACUUUAGGAUGGGGCUUCCGUAAACUUCAGGGAAAUCAAAAUGCAUUGUUAUUGGGUGAAUCUCUGUUUUGUUUAGUGGCUGAAGGUUCAGUAAAUGAUGGAAUAUGU
rfam:Beta vulgaris subsp. vulgaris Bvchr6.sca027.con0174.1, whole genome shotgun sequence.